rnacentral:rRNA from 1 species
UACGUAGGGAGCAAGCGUUGUCCGGAAUCAUUGGGCGUAAAGCGCGCGUAGGUGGCCCCAUAAGUCCGCUGUGAAAGUCAAAGGCUCAACCUUUGAAAGCCGGUGGAUACUGUGGGACUAGAGUACGGAAGAGGCGAGUGGAAUUCCUGGUGUAGCGGUGGAAUGCGCAGAUAAUCAGGAGGAACACCAAUAGCGAAGGCAGCUCGCUGGGACGUUACUGACACUGAGGCGCGAAAGCGUGGGGAGCGAACAGG